UGCCCCAUGGCUGAGUUGGUUACAGCGUCCGACUGUUACAAUUGCAACUGAAAUCGGAAGGUCGAGAGUUCGAGCCUCUCUGGGGCAG
rfam:Gymnopus luxurians FD-317 M1 unplaced genomic scaffold GYMLTscaffold_22, whole genome shotgun sequence.